AAAAGAACAUCAAGACAAAACAAACAUAAAGUGAAUCAAGAGAUUAAUUUUAAAAAUAAAUAGAAAGACAAGGAGUGGUUGCGAGAUAGGAGGUUUCCCCACUGUGAAAGAUCAUCAUGUACUUCCCAAACUCUGAAUGCGUGAAGAGUGAGGUGCGCGAGGCAUACAUGGGUGGCGGAUGUCAUCAUUUUCCACACUGGAGCUCUGCUGCUGCACUCUGAAAGAUUCAUUUCUGAAUGGAGAGACGCUUCGGGUCUCCUAUACCACUCUCAAAGGCCUGAAGGCCAGGAAGAACCGUUCCAACCAGACCAGUCCUCCCAGGGGUCUUCCAGGAUGUCAGGAACGGGGAGGGUAGAGCUUCAGAGGGCUGCAGGUAGAACUGGACCUUCUGCCCGCUCUGAGCAGGUGAUACACUUGGGAUGCAGAAAUGCCACCUGCUCUUGGCCGUCAGCACAGAACCCCACCCACCCACCAGACCACAGAAGGAGGGAACUGGAAUCCAGCUGGGGCUUUAUUGAGCUGAGAAGAGAACACCCUACUGCCAGUUCCACCUGCCUCCAUCAUAGGCCAUGUGGCCUGGCCUUGCUGUCACUGGGCACUAGGCAGCUGAAACUUCUAUUUGUCCUCCUCCAGCUUUCUGCAUUUUUUGACCCUAACUGCUAUGGUCUUUGCCUUUAAUUCUUGGAGAGCCUCCCAGCAGCCUUCAGAUGCGCUAUGGAAUCUCAGUGUUCUGGAAAUUGAAGGAUCGGGUGACACAUGACACGCUCGGGUGCUGAGGAUCACCUCCCAUCCCUAGUGUCACAUGGGGAGGCCAGUGUCCAUCUUAGAACUUCUUGUCCCCAUUCAGUCUUCCUCCCUUUCUCUCAGCCUUCCUCUCUCUCCCUUCAUCUCUCCCCACCUCCCUCUCUCUCUCUUCACUUGGUUCAUCUCCCCUCAGGGCACCUUCAGGCUGAAAGUGCCUCACUCGAUCACCAAACACUGCCAGAGCCUCAUCUGUGUUGUGACCUGAGCUGGGUGUGAAACAUUCAGGGCUGAAAACACAGGGUUUGCCCUCAGCAGCUCAGUGUUGGUGCCCUGAAGAUGUCUUUAAUGGAGGGGAGGGGGUAAAAGGGAAGGAAAGAUGGCAGGAGGAGGGUUCUCAGCACUGGAGGCUCUGAGCAGGGCUACAAGUCGCGAGCUGCCCAUAGCUGACAGAUGCCCUUUGCUCGCACCAUGGCCGCCUCCUUCCAGCUUCCAAAACAGCCUCCUUCCACAGGCCUUGUGAGCUCCUGCAAAGAUGCUUCAUGGGUCUCAGCCUCUCUACACCAGCCCAGUUUCUGCUGUGGUAGAGACAUGGCCCCCUGUGUUUCCAUGGGAAUCCCUUUUUCAGCGAAUUUCAGUCAGUGGAAAGAUUAACAUGAACACCAAGAACUUGGAGUCGUGAAGAGAAACUGAGGAACGGGCCUCUAGAUGGAAAUUUCUAACCACAUAAAAGUGAGAUGGGAAAAUGACCAUGAUUCCCUGUUUUAUGUUCUUCUGGAUGUAACACCAGCGAGGCUUUGGGAGUAACCUAAAAGUCUGCAGUAGGAAUAACCUACACAGAUGCCCGGUAGGCACCAGCACCUCCACGGGAGGAAUCAGAAACCCCCUUUAUAUAUUGUAGACCCAGAUCCAGCACACUCUCAGGACCUGGCAGCAAACUCAACCGAAUUCACUGAUGUGAACAUGGGGAGGAGCAGGCAUGAAUACGUGGUGCCUGCAAUCCCUACACAUGGUGAACACUUAAGUGGUCCACCCCAUUAGGCUUCUUUGUUACUGAAAGUGACAGGUUUAUAAAUAAAAUAUAAUUGGCUAUCAGAGAGGUCUCAGUGGCUCUUGGAGACAAUACUGCAUACACUGAGCCCCUUUACAC
rnacentral:lncRNA from 10 species